UCCAAACUCCUGUUUCGCCAGAAUUCCGUGACACCCGAAGCCGACGCGAUUGUAGAAAAUAAAGUGCUUCUCUCGUUGUCGGUUCCGGUUAUCGUGGUUUCUUCGACGGCCCUUUCCGUGGACGUAGUUAUCAUGAAAUAAUACCUAGAAAUGAUACGUACCGGUGUACAGCAAACUCUCCCUAAUCGACGCUCAGGUCGCACAUAAAAAUGGACAAUUUGGGAAGAGGAGAUACGAUUGUUCGUGGCUUGCACGUCGUUUUUAUAAUUGUUGACUUAUAAUUGCCCAUUUUUACAACCAUUGUAAAAGAUUGUUCUCUUUUCUUUUUUUUUAAGCAGAUUUCUAAGCGGACUAUUUACUCUGUCGUCGGCGUGUAUCUCGGCGUGUCACUCGUUUCGGAGGAGGACGUCUCGCUGAUGGCAACGGACGUCCCAGUUCCUUCCCUCUGGUACGUCGUUUCGGUGGCCGCGGUUUCGUUGCGAGACGAUUUCUCGGUCUUUGGUCGUGAUCGAAUAGAUCGACGAGGCGUCGGUGAGCAGCGUGCUGGUGUCCGUGCUGCUGCUGCUGCUGCUGCUGCUGCUGCUGCUACUGCUAAACAAGCCAUUUUUGUCAGUGGUCGAUGACCCUUCGGCGAAAGGGUACCAUUUCGUGAAGGAACGGCUGGUCCCUUUGACCGACGUCGAAGACUCAGUUGCCGCGAAAGCAUUUGUCAACGGCGACGAAUCGGUUUCUGGCAGUGUUGGCGAUCCCGAUGGAAACGAGAUGCUGGCAGUGGUUGUUUCCCUAUCGCUAUCAGUCUCGUAUGUUUCCGCGAACGGCGAAACCGUCGACGAUGGAAGAUGAUCGUGCUGGUCGCAGAACGGCCCGCUGUAAUAAACCGGGCAGGCGCAGGUGAAACUGUUGAUGCCGUCGACGCAGGUACCGCCGUUCACGCAGUUCGCGAAUUUCGACUCGCAGUCGUCGUAUUUCAGCUCGCACAAUGAGCCGUGAUAGUCCGGCACGCAAUAGCAAACGGAUCGUUCGUCCUCGAACAAACACACCGCCUCGUUUUGACACGGAUUCUCCUCGCAGGGGACGACAGCUUUGUCGCAGUCUUUGCCCGUGUAUCCUUGCAAAAGCAACCGUGACAAUUAGUUACAACGAAUUUGGGCGAGACCGAACGAACGGCCAUGCUAUUUUUACCGAAGGGCGAACGAAUUUGAAGUGGAAAUCUGUGACGGCACGUUCUCUAUGCUUACCGAACAGGCAAGCGCAGGUAUAAGAAGAGGGCACGUUGAUGCAGAGGCCACCAUUUUUGCAGGGCGACGUGAUGCAUUCGUCGACGUCCUGGUCGCACAGCGGGCCUGUCCAUCCUGUAACAAAGGGAACGAAACGAUGAUUUAUCGUUGUUCGUUUUUACGACAGUUCCAACGAACGCGGCACUCGCCUUCGGGACAACGGCAAAGAAAGGAGAACCCGGGUCCCUCGAUGCACUCGCCUCCAUUCUUGCAUAUAGUGUCGUUGCAGACGGACGCGUCUAUCUCGCAGUAAUCGCCUUGAGGAAAGUAAACGACGGUUUAGGACAGAGCGAAGGAUUUACGAGAUCUCUUGCCUCUAUACCUGAAUAUCCGUCGGGGCAUUGACAAGUAAUGCCGUCGUAGUCGAGGCAAGUCCCGUUGUUCAAACAGGGUUGGUUCGAGCACUCGCUGUACCUCUGCUCACAAUUUAUACCUGCAAACGCGACGCGUCGAGAAAACUUGUGCGAAAAGUAACGUCGAGACCAGGGAUUCUGUUGAACCAGAUUCGCGUAUUUAAAUGUUUAUAUCGAAAGAACAGCAAGGUGCAUAUUGAACGAUGCGUCAACGAAACGAAUGAAGCGUAAUAGAAAGAGACGAUGUUGUGCUGUUAGAAGAAACUCUUGUAAAAAAGUCUUGUACACGAGUUAUUACCGGACUGCGGAUCUUUGUGCGAAAUAAAGAUUUCUUUUAAUAAUUAUAAGUUGAACUGAUAAGUUGGAACACAAUGUGAACGUAUAUUUGAACUCUUCUAAUGUCGUUUCAGUCUUUUAUAGCCCGUUUUUGCCAUAAGACGCACAAAAUUCGCAGUCUAGUUGUUACCGUUGAAUUGAUUUUAUAGAAUAGAUCAGGGGCGGCCGAACCGUCGGCCACACGUAACUAUUCCUAAUGGCUCCUGCCUGUCUGAUAUUAUCUAUGUUUAUCUCAAAUUUAAACUUAUUCUUGGAUUUAAAUUACUACUUUUCUUACGAUCACUUCGUGUAAUCGCGAUGUUGGUGAACCGCCGCUUAUAAUUUAAAAAAAAAAAAAACAGGUCGCCCGUAGUGAUCGAAAGUUUGGCCACCCCUGGAAUAGACGAACGCAAGAUAGAGAAAUCACAAAUUGCCGACAAAUUGUAAUAGAUAAGGGAACACGUCUGAAACGCGAAGCAUGCACCGUCUGGCUGGACGGAUUGAUUCGAUCUGUUCUCGCUGAUCUCGUGCAUUAACAGUUGCGCGUUUACGUUUACGUUAUCCACGGUACCGUAAAGCGAGCACAUAAUCAUAAUUUAAUCAUUCCCCGCGUAAACAUGCCGGCGCAGCGGCCCGUAUAUCACGCAUGCGAUGGGAAAUGAACGCAGGGAUACCACGAGUUACCUACAAAACCCUCGGCACAGGUGCAAUUAUACGCUGCAACGGCGUCGUUGCAUGUCCCUCCGUUUAGGCACGGAUUGGACCAACAGUCGUCCCAAUUGAUCUCGCAGUUGAUUCCGGUGUAACCGUCGAUGCAAUAACAGGAAUACUUUGUGCUGCGCGCACAAAACAAACGAGCUUUAAUCGCAAGCAAUUUGGCUUCUCGCCGAUCGUUGCGAUUCUUAUUGUUCGAAUCACGAAUAACUUCCGUCGUGGGGACUUUGGAUAUUUAUUGAAAUUUAUUCACACUACUCGAGCGAACGAUGCUUGACAAAUUUCUAUCGUUCUUUCCCGCCGAUGUCAAUUUAGAAGAUGAAAGCAGAUACAGUAAAUUCUCCCUAAUCGACGCUCAGCUUGGAAACAAAUAUAGACUAGUUUGAGAAGAGGCUUCCGGCUCGAUUAAAUUCCAUUUAAUUUGCGCCUCGAAUAAUCGUAUCUUUUCUGUCGAUCGGAGAGAAUUUCCUGUAUUUACAAAUCCCUCGGAUUUAUAUAUUUAGGAAAUAAAUAUUCAUGAAACAGCGGUGGUUAAUCGUGGUCGUUGCUAAAAACGUUCGACACAAGCGUUCCUUUAAUCACCUAGAUAUUAUCGGCGAUAAAGUAUCAUUUUGCGUUUCAUACCAACAUAGAGACUGUGUGCGUGAUUUUUAUGUCUGUGUGUUUUAUGUACCUGUUCCCAUCCUCUAAGCAAAUCCCGUACAUGCAAGGCUCGCUACUGCAAUUCAGUCCUCGUGCGAGACCAAUCGUUAAAGCCAACACGGUUGUCAGCGCGAGAACCCUUUCAUUCAUGAAUUUCUCAAUCGACCAUCUUGCGUGAAGCAUUCUAAAUCAAAAUUACGUAACACAGUAGAAGGCCGAAGACAUUCCGCCGACAACACGUCUGAUUCCGCUAUUUUUGCCAAGUAUUAUACAUUCUGUAUUAUUCUGUAUUACCGUAUCGUAUCCAACGCGAAAUUCGUUUGUUCGAAAUUCGAACACAAAUGUUCGAAGCGAGUUGUUGUUGUUGCAUACGAACUGUUGCGUUUAUUUUCAUUCAAUCGCCGACGUAUAGUAUAGCGGUAAAACUUUCUCAGCCCCGGAGACGCGCGAUUUCCGUCUCCAUAGCGCUCUCAUCGAACAACAGAGAAUUUAUUCGAAACAAUUCCUCCGACCGAAUAAUGUACAUAUUAUUUUAACACAGAUAAGAAGAUCGCAUGUACCGAGAAAUAAUCGCGGGGUCUAAUGAACACGUUCGAUGCGACUCUCUUCUUUUUUGUUCCGAAAACAUGAUAACGGAUACGGCCGCCCUAAGUCACACAUACGCGUACACUUCGUGCAUUAAAUUGUUACACACGUAUUUACGAGGCCUCGGACUACAGGGUAACGUUUCGUAUGCAGCAACUAAAAAUCGAAUGACGCUUUUAUCUCGGUUUGUUCACUGUCGAAGGAUCGAUCGUCCGUUCUCCGUACCGAUUACCUUUUUCUAUUCGACGAUCCUCGGAACGGAACUGGUGACACGCGGGGUCGUCGGUUCUACGAUACUUUUUCUCGGCUCACACUAUCCCUCAAUGGUACUAACCCUAUAUAAUAUACAUACUUGUUAGCAUACAGUGUUCCUUGCGGCUAGCUACCUGGUAGUCCUGGCAACGAUCGUCUAUACAAACGGUGUACACCACGUUACGCUUGCGUGAAAUUACGCUGUAUCGAUACACGAAUCCUGGUUCCGUUUCGAAAACCUCUCGGAACGACCGGAAACGACCGCUGAUUUCUUAAAAAAAUGAUCGCGCGGCGAACAAACCGGUAGCAUGAUUUUUCGCUGUGAAACGAAGAUCUUCGAUGGUUCGCGAUCGAUGCGUUAGCCUAGAUCGGAGAAUAAGGAGAUACGAUUGUUCGAGCCUCGCGGUUCGUUAUUGUAGUCGUUGACAAUCUGUUCUUCCUCGAAUUGUCCAUUCUUUCCGCGAAAUCUGAGCGCGAAUUAGGGAGAAAUUACUGUACUCGAUUAACCGUCCGUGCUGUAUUCGUAUAAAUGCGACGAUUGUAAUGCACAAUAAUCGCACGAAAGUGUUCGCACACCUUCUAAAACCUGACAACAUAUUUAAAACUCGAUUAAAAAAGAAAAGGCAUUUUUCUUAAUUUUUGUUAUAAGCUCAGAUAAAAAGAUUGAAAAACUU